UAUGAUUGUCCCUGGGCUUUUUUGAUCAGGUUUUAACUUUAGAGGACAGAGUCAGGGAGAGGUCAGGGAGAGGUCAGAGAGAGGUCAGAGAGAGGUCAGAGAGAGAUCAGAGGAAGGCAGAGAGAGGUCAGGGAGAGGUCAGAGAGAGGUCAGGGAGAGGUCAGGGAGAGGUCAGAGGAAGGCAGAGGAGGUCAGAGAGAGGUCAGAGGAAGGCAGAGAGAGGUCAGAGGAAGGCAGAGAGAGGUCAGAGGAAGGCAGAGAGGUCACAGGAAGGCAGAGAGAGGUCAGAAAGAGGUCAGAGGAAGGCAGAGAGAGGUCAGAGGAAGGCAGAGAGAGGUCAGAGAGAGGUCAGAGGAAGGCAGAGAGAGGUCAGAGGAGAGGUCAGAGGAGAGACGUGAGGGAGGCAGAGAGAGGUCAGAGAGAGGUCAGAGAGAGGUCAGAGGAAGGCAGAGAGAGGUCAGAGAGAGGUCAGAGGAAGGCAGAGAGAGGUCAGAGAGAGGCAGAGAGAGGUCAGAGAGAGGUCAGAGGAAGGCAGAGAGAGGUCAGAGAGAGGUCAGAGGAAGGCAGAGAGAGGUCAGAGAGAGGUCAGAGGAGGAUUGGAGUGAGAUUCUUAUGGUGUUUGGAAGAGAUUCUGGGGAGAAUUGAAAGAGAACCGGUGAUAUUCUUGUUAUUU
rnacentral:lncRNA from 1 species